rnacentral:lncRNA from 1 species
GCUCCCAGCGAGAGGCUGGAGAGCGCGACCCGCCUGCGCUCUACAGGGCGGGAGAGCCCCCGAGGCCUCCCCAGCACACCCGCGGCUUUGUCCGCGGAGGAGACGCCGCGGAGCCUCAAGCCUGAAGUCCAGGGGCUCCGCAGAUGCACUUCGAGGGCCUGUCAGUGCCUGUUUAGUCUUGCAAUAUGGAAAGCAAAAUGUCAUAUAUGCGUUUUAUCUUAGGAGAGCAUUCGCGGCUUCUAUAUAGUCUCAGAAGCUUAAGUUCAUUGUCUUUUAGAAUGAAACCCCCAGGAUCUUCCCCACACCAAGCUCCCAGGAAGGGCUGAGCGUCUGUCCUCACCAGCCAUCUCAUCUACUCCCUGGAGGGGUGCGUGCGGGAAAGGGGAUGAUGUUCUUAUUCUGAUCAGACUCCAGCUUGGUCCUUCCCAGUGUGGGGAGGGGCUGUAGGAAGGAGAGCAGUGACCUGGAGUAAUCCCAGGGGGAAAUCUGAAAUAAUUCUUAGAAGGAGGUCGUGGGAAAGAGUUUUGGGACAGUUCUUUUUUUUUCGUUAGAAAAGGACUUGGUAGGGCAGAGGGGGUUAUUUGGACUUCCAGGCUGGGUGUUCUCCCAGGACCCUGCUGGGGACCCAGACUGUCCCUCUCCCAGGCGGCCACGGUGGGUUCAUAUUUGGCCAUGGUUCCUGUACUGGCCCCUAGAGGCCAGAGCAGUAAGCCCCUACUGUGUAUCCUCUGCCCAGGUGUUCUAGUAGUGGCGAGAGUCAUGACAUCAUGCCCAUUUGCCCGCCAGGGGACCAAAACUGAAAGGAUCAAGGAGGUGUUUGGGUGGGUGAUCCCAAGAGGAUUUGGCAUGAGCCAACUUCCCUUGCAGAUGAAGGUCCAUCGAACAGUGACACUCCAACCUCUGCUCCAUCCCUCUCAAGACGUUGAGUCCCAGAGGAGAUGUCCAGGGUCUCUUGGGCUCAGUUGCUCUAUUCCAAGAGAGUGUCUCCACUCAUUCCCCCCAAAAUCCUUUAAAAGUCCUCAGAAUUCACCUACAUUGCUUGUAUUUCCCAUUCAUUCUAAGAAAAAAGGGGUAUCACACAGUAUUGACCUCCUGUUGAUCAAUUUAAACUCAGAAACCAUGGAAGCAAAAAAACUGGAUUUGGGGUCUGAGAACUGCAGUUCUAGAAAGCACAGAAUCAGAUGGCUCUGAAUGAGUGCUCCAAAGAAACUCAGAUUAGCCAGGACUUUAAAAGGGAAGGAGAAACUGAGGACCAAGGUAAUUCUACAAGGUACAUGGAAAGAAAGGUGUUGACAUAGCAAUGCUUUCCUUUUAGACUGUACAUCAUUGGGCCAUUCAUGACAGAUUGCUGGGCUCUCUAGGUGUAAAGUUCAUUUGUCAUUUGUAAGGCCCGUUACAGCUGCAGCCUCCAAUAAAAGGUGUUAAUGGCUUCACAGCCUUGGCCCUGUUCAAAGGUUCUCAUUCCUGUGUCAUUUUCAUGGCCAGUUU